UCGGGAAUUUUGGGCAAUGGGCGAAAGCCUGACCCAGCAACGCCGCGUGUGGGAAGAAGGCCUUCGGGUUGUAAACCACUUUUGUCAGGGAAGAAACGGCUCUUACUAAUAUUAGGAGCUAAUGGCGGUACCUGAAGAAUAAGCACCGGCUAACUACGUGCCAGCAGCCGCGGUAAUACGUAGGGUGCAAGCGUUAAUCGGAAUUACUGGGCGUAAAGCGUGCGCAGGCGGCUUUGCAAGACAGAUGUGAAAUCCCCGGGCUCAACCUGGGAACUGCAUUUGUGACUGCAAGGCUAGAGUACGGUAGAGGGGGAUGGAAUUCCGCGUGUAGCAGUGAAAUGCAUAGAUAUGCGGAGGAACACCGAUGGCGAAGGCAAUCCCCUGGACCUGUACUGACGCUCAUGCACGAAAGCGUGGGGAGCAAACAGGAUUAGAUACCCACGUAGUCCCUGAGCGGGCUGGCAAGGCGCAU
rnacentral:rRNA from 1 species